rnacentral:rRNA from 1 species
AUUGAACGCUGGCGGCAUGCUUUACACAUGCAAGUCGAACGGCAGCACGGGGGCGAACCCUGGUGGCGAGUGGCGAACGGGUGAGUAACACAUCGGAACGUGCCCAGUUGUGGGGGAUAACCUAUCGAAAGGUAGGCUAAUACCGCAUGAGCUCGGCAAGAGGAAAGCGGGGGACUCAGCGAUGGGCCUCGCGCGACUGGAGCGGCCGAUGUCCGAUUAGCAGUUGGUGGGGUAAAGGCUUACCAAGGCGACGAUCGGUAGCUGGUCUGAGAGGAUGAUCAGCCACACUGGGACUGAGACACGGCCCAGACUCCUACGGGAGGCAGCAGUGGGGAAUAUUGGACAAUGGGCGCAAGCCUGAUCCAGCGAUGCCGCGUGUGUGAAGAAGG